GGCCGCGUGCCCGAGGCUGCGCCGCGCGCCCUCGUGGGGCGGCUCCGCUGUCCCCCGCUCCCUAGCUGCCUGGCAUCCUCUCUGGUUCCCAGCAGACGAACUCCAGGGUCAUCCUGCCUGGAUAAAAUCGAGGGUUGCCCAUUUCUUGGAGCUUCCAGUGCUCAUACUCCGGGAAAAUCGGAAGUUCCCUCCUAGGAAAAGCUGGAGUCGUGGCAAGGCCUGGUAAUCCCCAAUACUCUAGAGGCUGAGGCAGGAAGGACAAAAGGCCAGCCUGGGCUACAUCCUUCUGUUAAGAUAGGAAACGCUCGUCUGACUACUGCAGGCAGAAGAAAUCUGCGAGCUUAGCAAGAAGAGACUAUUCUAUUCUAGCCCAGGUACAGCCAACGAAGGCACCCAGCAUCCUGGACGCACUCCAACCCUUGGCGAUUUGCUGGUGCGACAGUGGGCGGAGCCUCACAUAGCCCCGCCUUGGACCUUUGUGACGUAAGACAAUGCCUGCCACGCGUCUGAAUUCUGUCCCAUCAGCCUGCUAACACGCUGUGGGGCUUGCACUGGGCCUGGGAGUACUGCUUUGGCAAACAUGAAUCUCCUAUUCAGAUUAUCAGUUUUCCUUGGCCUGUGGGUUUGUUCCGGUGCUCAGGGACAAACCAAAGAAGAAAGCACAGAGGAAGUGAAAAUAGAAGUUUUGCAUCGUCCAGAAAACUGCUCCAAAACAAGCAGGAAAGGAGACCUGCUAAAUGCCCAUUACGAUGGCUACUUGGCUAAAGACGGCUCCAAAUUCUACUGCAGCCGGACACAAGAUGAAGGCCACCCCAAAUGGUUUGUUCUUGGUGUUGGGCAUGUGAUAAAGGGGCUAGACAUUGCUAUGAUGGACAUGUGCCCUGGAGAAAAGAGAAAGGUGAUUAUUCCUCCUUCACUUGCUUAUGGAAAAGAAGGCUAUGCAGAAGGCAAGAUUCCACCCAAUGCAACUCUGAUGUUCGAGAUUGAACUUUAUGCUGUGACCAAGGGACCACGGAGCAUUGAAACGUUUAAGCAAAUAGACACGGACAAUGACAGGCAGCUCUCCAAGGCCGAGGAAAGUCAGUAAGGUCAUAAUGCUACUUCAUGAGGCAGACCUGUAGCUUCAGUUACUCCAAACCUGAUGUAAGAAGACAGCACCUUGAAAGGACAGCCUGGGGCUACAGAGAGUUGAAGACUACCCUGGCCGACGUACUAACACCCUGUCUUAGAAGGACCAGUUGUCUUGGAGAAGCUGACUCAAGGUCUACUGACCACUGACCAUUCCAAGUCCUUUGUGAUGGACUGGGCAUGCAAUAUGUAUUACUAGAACGACUGUUCAACUCCAUCUUUCAAAAUGUCUCUUGCCAUAAAAAUGCCACAUCAAAAUUAUUUCCAGGUCAGUGUGCCGUGCUUUCAUUAGUAGAAAUCGGCAUUUUCGUAUGGAGAAACAGUUGAGUUACAUAGAUAACUUUAACUUUAAAUUAUGUGGUGUACACGUAUUAAAAAAUAAACGGCACAUUUGCCAUGGUGAUAUUACCCACAGUCCCAGCUCUGAGGAAGUUGGGAGCAGAAGAAUUGGCCGAGCCUAUGAGUUGAUGCCGGCCCUGGCAACACAGUGAGAGGUGAUAUCAUUCACAAGACAAGGAAAUGGGGGGGAAAAACAUGAUAUUUUGUGACUUAGCUUAACUCAUUAUGUAGAUGAAAUAGUACCACUUCAACAUGAAAUUAUAUAAAAAUGAUUAGUGAAGUGGACUUUGAGUUACUAUCUCUGAAAUCUGCUGUGUGGCUUAUAUUUACAAGAAAAUGUCUGCCAUAGCCCCAUUUCAAAUGCAGAGGAAUUGCAUGUGGCUAAUAUCACAGUACUUUAUUGAGUGUAUGCUACAAAGGCAAGCAGUCAGUGUGCUUCAGAGCAUCUCAAGCCCUUGGUUGACUUGAUUAUGCAGUAAACUCAUUAAUUCCAGAGACGGCCAUGCUAAAGAGAUUUUGUAUUAAAUAAUAGGAAUUAAUCUGAAUGUGUUUUUCUUUUCUAAUAGGGACAGUGUGGAUCAUUAGAAAGUAUUCAGUUUCAGAAAAUUAAGUGUGGCUAAUACCACCAAUCUAUAACCCCAGGGACAGCUAAUUUGAAUAACCACUUCUCUUCAAAAAUUAAAAACAAAACAAAAAGUCUGAGGCCAAACAUGUUGGCACAGGCCUAUAAUACCAGUACUUGGGAGGCAGAGGCGAGCAGAUCUCUAUGAGUCUGAGGCCAGCCUGGUCUACAGAGUGAGUUCCAGGACAGCCGAGCCUAUGUAGAGAGACCCUGUCUCUAAGGUAUUUCCAAACCUUGAAAUACCUUUUUAAAAUGGUUAUGGGUUGGCAAGACUUCUCAGUGAAUAUAGCUCUUGCUCCAAGCCUGAGGGCAUGAGUUCGGUCCUCAGUACCCCUCACAUGGCAGAGAGAACCAGCUCCCACAAGUUGUCCUCUGACCUCCAAUGCGUACCACGGCCCUUGAGUGCCCCUCCCCCAUAUACAGACCAAUUAUUUAAGAUGUUUGCAUCACUUGCUACGCUUAUUCAGUACCGUCAUCAUUUCUUAGCGUGACUAGACGCCUGUGGUGCCUUUUUAUUAACGAUGUUGUGUUCCGGCCUCCAGAUAGAGCUUUACUUACAGAAGGACUUUGAAAAAGACGCAAAACCCCGUGACAAGUCAUAUCAGAAGGCGGUUUUGGAAGAUAUC